rnacentral:rRNA from 1 species
ACGGAGGGCGCAAGCGUUGUUCGGAAUUACUGGGCGUAAAGCGCAUGUAGGCGGCCUGGCAAGUCGGGUGUGAAAUCCCGGAGCUCAACUCCGGAACUGCAUCCGAUACUGCCAGGCUCGAGUCUCGGAGAGGAUGGCGGAAUUUCCGGUGUAGAGGUGAAAUUCGUAGAUAUCGGAAGGAACACCAGUGGCGAAGGCGGCCGUCUGGACGAUGACUGACGCUGAGAUGCGAAAGCGUGGGGAGCAAACAGGA